AUUGAACGCUGGCGGCAUGCCUUACACAUGCAAGUCGAACGGCAGCACGGGUGCUUGCACCUGGUGGCGAGUGGCGAACGGGUGAGUAAUACAUCGGAACGUACCUUAUCGUGGGGGAUAACGCGGCGAAAGUUGCGCUAAUACCGCAUACGCCCUGAGGGGGAAAGCGGGGGACCGUAAGGCCUCGCGCGAUUAGAGCGGCCGAUGUCUGAUUAGCUGGUUGGUGAGGUAAAAGCUCACCAAGGCGAUGGUCAGUAGCUGGUCUGAGAGGACGAUCAGCCACACUGGGACUGAGACACGGCCCAGACUCCUACGGGAGGCAGCAGUGGGGAAUUUUGGACAAUGGGGGCAACCCUGAUCCAGCAAUGCCGCGUGAGUGAAGAAGGCCUUCGGGUUGUAAAGCUCUUUUGUCAGGGAAGAAACACCGGCUCUAACACAGUCCGGGAAUGACGGUACCUGAAGAAUAAGCACCGGCUAACUACGUGCCAGCAGCCGCAGUAA
rnacentral:rRNA from 1 species